UCGUUGCUACCACUCAUUUUGAUGCUGCAAAUGAAAAAAGAGUUUGGAUCGUUUGCUAUGUCUUGGUUUGAUGAGGAGGAAUUUGGUGGGGUGGCUUUGGUGGAAUUUAUACACACACAACAUUCUAUAAUUUGUCCUUCGAUGCUAAGGUUCCAUUAUGAUGUGAAUUUUAAAUUAUUAACUAUUAUUCACUCAACCCCACCUACAUGACUUUUUUUCUCUAGUGGAAGCAUCAGCGUAGUUUCAUUCUUAAAUAAUAGUAAGGUUCCAUUAUGUCUUGGUUUGAUGAGGAGGAAUUUGGUGGGGUGGCUUUGGUGGAAUUUAUACACACACAACAUUCUAUAAUUUGUCCUUCGAUGCUAAGGUUCCAUUAUGAUGUGAAUUUUAAAUUAUUAACUAUUAUUCACUCAACCCCACCUACAUGACUUUUUUUCUCUAGUGGAAACAUCAGCGUAGUUUCAUUCUUAAAUAAUAGUAAGGUUCCAUUAUGUCUUGGUUUGAUGAGGAGGAAUUUGGUGGGGUGGCUUUGGUGGAAUUUAUACACACACAACAUUCUAUAAUUUGUCCUUCGAUGCUAAGGUUCCAUUAUGAUGUGAAUUUUAAAUUAUUAACUAUUAUUCACUCAACCCCACCUACAUGACUUUUUUUCUCUAGUGGAAACAUCAGCGUAGUUUCAUU
rnacentral:lncRNA from 1 species